AGGGGUGUGGAGGUGUGUGGUGGGGUGUGGAGGUGGUGUGGUAGGGUGUGGAGGUGGUGUAGUGGUUUGUGGAGGUGGUGUAGUGGUGUGUGGAGGUGGUGUAGGGGUGUGUGGAGGUGUGUGGUGGUGUGUGGUGGGGUGUGGAGGUGUGUGGUGGUGUGUGAGGUGGUGUAGUGGUGUGUGGAGGUGGUGUAGUGGUGUGUGGAGGUGUGUGGUGGGGUGUGGAGGUGGUGUAGUGGUGUGUGGAGGUGUGUGGUGGGGUGUGGAGGUGUGUGUGGUGUGUGGAGGUGGUGUAGUGGUGUGUGGAGGUGUGUGGUGGGUGUGUGGAGGUGGUGUAGUGGUGUGUGGUGGGGUGUGGAGGUGGUGUAGUGGUGUGUGGAGGUGGUGUAGUGGGUGUGGAGGUGGUGUAGUGGUGUGUGGAGGUGUGUGGUGGUGUGUGGAGGUGGUGUAGUGGUGUGUGGAGGUGGUGUAGUGGUGUGUGGAGGUGGUGUAGUGGUGUGUGGAGGUGUGUGGUGGUGUGUGGAGGUGUGUAGUGGUGUGUGGAGGCGUGUGGUGGGGUGUGGAGGUGGUGUAGUGGUGUGUGGAGGUGUGUGGAGGUGGUGUAGUGGUGUGUGGAGGUGUGUAGUGGUGUGUGGAGGUGGUGUAGUGGGGUGUGGAGGUGGUGUAGUGGUGUGUGGAGGUGUGUGGUGGGGUGUGGAGGUGUGUGGUGGGGUGUGGAGGUGGUGUAGUGGUGUGUGGAGGUGUGUGGUGGGGUGUGGAGGUGGUGUAGUGGUGUGUGGAGGUGGUGUAGUGGUGUGUGGAGGCGUUUGGUGGUGUGUGGAGGUGGUGUAGUGGUGUGUGGAGGUGGUGUAGUGGGGUUUGGAGGUGGUGUAGUGGGGUUUGGAGGUGGUGUAGUGGGGUUCGGAGGUGUGUGGAGGUGGUGUGGUGGGGUGUGGAGGUGGUGUGUGGAGGUGGUGUGUGGAGGGGUGUG
ensembl:lncRNA